rnacentral:hammerhead_ribozyme from 1 species
AUUCAGCUGACGAGCCCCAAAUGGAGCGAAACAUGCAUCCUGGAU